CGUAGGAGGCAAGCGUUAUCCGGAUUUACUGGGCGUAAAGGGCAAGUAGGCGGUUGUUCAAGUUGGGCGUGACAGAUCUCGGCUUAACUGAGAAAGGUCGUCCAAUACUGAGCGACUAGAGGGCAGGAGAGGAAAGUGGAACUCCCGAUGUAGCGGUGGAAUGCUCAGAUAUCGGGAAGAACACCAGUGGCGAAGGCGGCUUUCUGGCCUGUACCUGACGCUGAGAGGCGAAAGCUAGGGGAGCAAACGGGCUUAGAUACCCCUGUA
rnacentral:rRNA from 1 species